rnacentral:rRNA from 1 species
GGGGGUCCGACUGCAGAGACAGCCAGGAUGUUAGCUUGGAAGCAGCUAUACAUUUAAAGAGUGCGUAACAGCUCACUGGUCGAGCGGGGCGGGCAUCGAUAAUAAACGGGCAUCAAGCAUAUUACCGAAGCUAUGCGAUAGUAAUUUAUUACGAUCGGUAGGGGAGCAUUCUCACAGGGGUGAAGGUUUGGCGUAAGCUGGGCUGGACUGGUGAGAAAAGCAAAUGUAGGCAUAAGUAACGAUAAUGCGGAUGAGAAAUCCGCACACCGAAAGACUAAGGAUUCCUCCGCUAUGCUAAUCAACGGAGGGUUAGGCGGGGCCUAAGGUAUAGCCGACAGGCAAGUAUCGAUGGACAGCAGGUUAAUAUUCCUGCCCUUGCAUGCAGUGUGAAAGAGUGACGGAGUAUUGUGGUAAGUACGUACUGACGGAAUAGUGCGUUGAGCAGAACCUACGGGUGAAGCGAACUUACGAAAACGCUUCCAAGAAAAGCUUUUGAAACGCCAGCUGUACGCAACCCGUACCGUAAACCGACACAGGUAGUCGAGAAGAAUAUUCUAAGGUGCUCGAGUGAAUCACGGCUAAGGAACUCGGCAAAUUAACCCUGUAACUUCGGGAGAAGGGGAGCCUCCUCAGCGAUGAGAGGCCGCAGAGAAAUGGCCCAGGCGACUGUUUAGCAAAAACACAGGGCUCUGCCAAAACGAAAGUUGACGUAUAGGGCCUGACACCUGCCCGGUGCUGGAAGGUUAAGAGGGGAUGUCAUCGCAAGAGAAGCAUUGAAUCGAAGCCCCAGUAAACGGCGGCCGUAACUAUAACGGUCCUAAGGUAGCGAAAUUCCUUGUCGGGUAAGUUCCGACCUGCACGAAUGGUGUAACGAUCUGGGCACUGUCUCGGCCGUGAGCUCGGUGAAAUUGUAGUAGCGGUGAAGAUGCCGCUUACCCGCCACGGGACGGAAAGACCCCGUGCACCUUUACUAUAGCUUUGCAUUGUUUUCGGGUCAGGGAUGUGUAGGAUAGGUGGGAGGCUGUGAGCCGGUGUCGCCAGGCAUCGGGGAGCCAACGUUGAAAUACCACCCUUCGCUGGCCUGGGAUCUAAUCCGACAAAGUCGGAGACCGUGCAUGGUGGGUAGUUUGACUGGGGUGGUCGCCUCCAAAAGUGUAACGGAGGCUUCCAAAGGUCUGCUCAACACGCUUGGUAACCGUGUGUGGAGUGCAAUAGUACAAGCAGGCUUGACUGUGAGACCGACGGGUCGAGCAGGUGGGAAACCAGGGUAUAGUGAUCCGGUGGUUCUGUAUGGAAGGGCCAUCGCUCAAAGGAUAAAAGGUACGCCGGGGAUAACAGGCUGAUCUCCCCCAAGAGCUCACAUCGACGGGGAGGUUUGGCACCUCGAUGUCGGCUCGUCACAUCCUGGGGCUGGAGAAGGUCCCAAGGGUUCGGCUGUUCGCCGAUUAAAGUGGCACGCGAGCUGGGUUCAGAACGUCGUGAGACAGUUCGGUCCCUAUCUGUGGUGGGCGUAGGAAGAUUGACGGGGGCUGCCUUUAGUACGAGAGGACCGAGGUGGACCCACCGCUGGUGAACCGGUUGUCACGCCAGUGGCAUGGCCGGGUAGCUAUGUGGGGAAUAGAUAAGCGCUGAAAGCAUCUAAGUGCGAAACUAGCCCGAAGAUGAAUCUUCCACAUAAGGGUCGUUGUAGACUACGACGUUGAUAGGCUGCAAGUGUACGUGUAGAAAUACAUUCAGCUGAGCAGUACUAAUUACCCAACAGCUUGCAGCAU